CUCUAUCCGCUUUGCUGGGUUGAGGUGCAAGCCGAACCACUCAAACACCGUCUCCUUGUCAAUUUGCGACAGGCGACACGAUUCCCUCGUUGAAUCCUUGAACCGGUGGCUCACACCACGCUCGAAGAUGGCCCUGCUGAGUACGCCAGCAGCAGGUGGUGAGGGAAGGAGAAGGUGGCUGCAAGCAGGCAGGCUUCAGAGCCUGGGUGUAACCCCUCCCCUCUAAUCCACUUCCAAACCCACUAGACCCUCACUGAGAAGUCUCAGGUCUACAUCACAGCUUUGUGGACUGUUUGCAUUUACACUGAUGAAUGGCAUAUUGGCAGGCGGGGAGUGAAGAGUGGAGGGCCAUCUUCCCUGAGGGUAUGCCUCCCUCCUAUGUGUUUGUGGCCAAGAGCCCCCCCGACCGUGAGAAGUUGGACCUGAUCAGAGUGCUCUCUCAGGACAGGCUGAAACAGUUCGUUGUGACACUCAAUGGGCUGGACAAGUCUGCCACCUUCACCAUCACAACCAGCAGUGUCAUCAAGAAAGAACAGUGUGUCAUAUUCAAUGAUCGAGGCAUUAAGGUCUGUAGAAACACACUGAAAUAAUGACCCCAAAAACCUUAGGACUGGUUUCCUGGACACACAUUAAUCCUAGUACUGGGCUUUAAAGCAUAUUAAAUGGAUAGCUUAAAACUUUUUUUAGGGGUAGGUGUCAACAGGACACCCUUCGACAACUUCUGGUGAAAUUGGAGGGGGCGAGAUACAAAAACUGAGGCUUUACUGCGAUCCCGAGCAACUUGAGGAAGAGACGGCGUGUGAUAUAUACUCUGUGGUGAGUGCAAUGAUACUGUAACUACGAUACUCAUCGUUUACUUCCAUAUGUCACUGAAGGUUGAGGUUUAAUGCAGGGAGCCAAAGAUACAAUUAUCAUCUUCAUAUCAUUAUCUCACUCUGUUUAUUUCUAUACAGGAGGAUGACAGGGGGAGUAUGCAUGUUGGUUGUCUAUGUGUUGCUCAGUUUUUACAGUACAUUGGUACACUUGUUGCGUUGUCCCUGUUAUGUUAAACUGUUUUCUGCCCCCAGUGUCUCCUGGACAGACAACCUGCAGCAGUGGAGAGCUGUAACUGCCCCCAGGGGAAACCUGGGCCUCCUGGUCUUCCUGGGCCUAUUGUGAUUAAGUAAUACCAUGUUAGACUAGAAAAGUACAUUUCCUGAAGAAAAUGUGGUGUGCUUGCUAGCUUGUUUUAAUGUAUUUAUGGUUAUGAGGUAAGUUAUAGUAGUUGUAAUGACUGCAGUAGAAAUGGUAGUGACUGGUUAUAGUUGAAAAAGUAGGUAGAUGAAGAGAUUGGUUGGUUGUUUGUUUUAUUUAUUUGGAUGGGAUAAGAUAGGAUAGCAUGAACAUUUGAAAGUUGUUUUUGUGUGUCUAACAGUUCAAAAGUUACUGUUGGCGAGUUAUUUUAUGCAAAUAUAUGCAUAUUUAUAUAGUUAUAGUUAUAAUUUUAUGUUAGGAUAGCCUGAACAUGUGAAAGAUGGUUUGGUGUCUCUAGCUUGAACGGCUCAAUAAUUACCGUUGGGGGGUUAUUUUAUGCACGUUUAUAUAAUUCUAGUUGAAUACAUUUUUUUAGAGAAUUUGAAGUUAGGAUAGCCUGAACAUGUGAAAGUUGAUUUGGUUUAUUUCCAUUGAAAUGGAUUGGAUUUCAUUUUAAAUAUUGUCGUAGUUCAAAAAGUAAAAAUAUUAUCAAAAAUGUUUUCUCAGGCAAUCUAAGUUGGGGACGUAUGCACAUCUGAAAGUGUGUUUCGUGGUCAUAUCUUAAAGCGUUUAAGCGCAAGAGUGAGCCGAAUAAAUAAAACAAUUAUUUGACUAUGUAAAAAAUCUAAAGUUGUGCUUUGCCUUCAGCAAGCACACCAAUGUAAUUUUUUACCCCUUUUUCUCCCCAAUUUCAUGUCUCAUUGCUGCAACUCCCAUAUGGACUCGGGAGAGGUGAAGGUCGAGAGCCAUAUGUCCUCUGAAACACAACCCAACCAAGCCGCACUGCUUCUUGACACAAUGCCCACUUAAUCCGGAAGCCAGCCGCACCAAUGUGUCGGAGGAAACAUCGUACACCUGGUGACCGUGUCAGUGUGCCCAGCGCCCGGCCCACCACAGGAGUCGCUAGUGCGCAAUGAGACAAGGACAUCCCAGCUGGCCAAACCUUCCUGUAACUCGGACGAUGCUGGUCGAUUGCAUGAAGGAUUAAUUGAUUGGUGGAUGUAUUGAUUGAGGAAAUUGAUGGAUCAUUUAUUGAGAUGUUUUUUUUAAAUGGCUCUACAAAAUGCAAACUCUUUUAUGAGAUGGGUACAACUACUUCAUAGCAUGUCUGUUUGACCGCUGUAGAGCUUCCAAGGUGAGAAUGGGAGGGGUCACCUGGUACUGACGGUAAGCCUGGCCAAGCUUCCAGCCCUCCAGGAUCUCUGUAUCAGGCGGUGUGAAAGGAAGGCCUGCGAAAAUCUUUAGAGACUCCAGCUACCCAAGCCAUAGACUGUACUCUCUGCUUCCGCACGGCAAGUGGUACCGCUGCAUCAAGUCUGACACCAACAGGCUCUUGAACAGCUUCGAUCCCCAAGCCAUAAGACAACUAAAUAGUUAUUUUUGCACUGUCUCUAUGCACACUUACAGGAUGCUACACACUCAAGCACACUGACACACUCACAGGUAGACACACUCACUUUAUUUGCUUACACGCACAUAUGUAGACACAUUUAUACACACUCAAAUACAAUCAUCAUAUACGCUGCUGCUACUCUAUCAUAUAUCCUGAUGCCAAUUGACCUUACAUAUCUACCUCUAUCACUCCAGUAAAUAUGUAAAUAUGAUAUUGGAACUGACUCUGCAUAUAGCUUACUUCUCGUGUUCUUCUUAUUUUAAUUUAGUUUGUUUUUGUUCUACCUUAUUUUACUUUUAGUGCUACAUUGAUAUUGAUUACUGGGUUUAGAGUUUGGAAGAUAUACAUUUCACUGCACUUGUGCCUGUGACAUUAAAACUUGAAACGUGACACUACAGUAUAGUGUUUUUGAUAAUGAAAUCAAUUGUUGCUAAUUUUGAUUGUGAAAGGGAAGCCAGGUUAACGUGGAGAACCAGGGAGGAAUGGGACCAAAAUGAGUGAAUACAUGUCACCAUUAGAUGUUUUAACAACCAUUUCAGCAUUUGUUUGAUUAUUCUCUUUGCCACUUGUGACAGAAAAAUGAUGUAUUCACCUUAUUUGUUGGAUAUGUAACAAUUAUUUACUUAAACAAUGAGAUAUUUCUGUCCUGCUAAUGCUGAGUUUUAGGGUGUCCACGCUAGCUUCCUGGUGAUAACAUCUACAGCUGGCAUUCCAGUGACAGGAUGUGGGGUGGUUGUAACUGGGAUAGAGAGGAGUAGAACAAAGGCCUCAAUGGUUCUUAGACAUCCUGGUCUGGGAAAUUAGGCCAGGGUCGGGGGUUAAGGUAAUGCCAGGGGCAGAUAAAGACAGGAUGAGCCCAAAGUGGCUUAUGGUGCCCCCAGUCAAUAUGGGAAGGGUGGAACCAAGCAUUCUGGGUAUUGGCUAUAUAAACUGUGUAUUGUCUGUAUGAUUCAGACUCUCAGCCUAACAGUCAGAACAAGACUGUUGGGCUGACAGAUGAAUUAUUGCAAUAAUGAAUCGAUAUUAAAUAAGUAUUAUUGUUUGAAGAAA